UUUGGGUCUUAGCUUUAUUUCUAGGAAAGCCUCUAACAUUUUCAUCUUUUCUUCCUGUCUUCAAUUGAAACACCACCCAUCCAUUAAAGCUUUAGUUUUGUUGAAGGAGAACCCAUUUUUGAAGAUUUGGGUGCUUUCUAAACCUCUCAAGCUUUCAUUUUUCUGUUCUCAAAAGAAUCCUAGAUCUGUGAGUGCAUUGAAUUCUAUUUGUGGUGUGGACCCGUGUGAUACCCAGUUCGAGUCGGAGGGGCAUACGGGUACAGGUUCAGGUAAUGUUGGGGUUGAGACCUCAGGCGGCAGGAGGCCGGAGCUGAGUUAGAUAUUGCUGUUAUUAUAUGCUGACUUGUUGGAUGCUGGUUAUGCUUGCUGCUAUUAUGCUUUUAGCUUCAUUUAUGUUAUGGAUUAUCUUGUUGAGACGCUGUUGGUAUUGUUGUUGAUUUGGUGAGCAUGGGGAUUGUCCAUGCCACAUAGACUUGUUUAUUGUCUUGUUUUAUUUGGAUUUGUAUUAAUGUAUCAGGAUAUUGUCCGAACUACGUGUAGUAGAUCCGUGACAUAGA